GGGGACGGUGCCGGCGCCGUCGGCGUCGGAAGAUCGGAGUGCAGCCGUCGUUGAUCGCCGGACGCACAUUUCUACACCUCACCCGUCUCGGCCGCCAUUCUGAUUACUUAGCUUCUGGACGACAUGGGUGCUGAGUCUGGUCUGUAGAAAAGCUAUGUUAAGUGGGAUGAAGCUAACCAAGAUAUAAUUAUGGGGAAACUGGUCUGUAGUCGAGAAGAUAAGCACAUGAAGAGAGAAGAUAGGAAGAGGUGGCCACAUAAUCUCACUCUUGCUGGGUGUCGAGCCAAAUUUGUCGUUGCAAGAGUCAAGAAAAUGGGUCUGUGGUCUGUGAAGGAUUUCGUCGAUGAGCACACCCAUCCUUUUCAAUAAUACAUAAAGUAGAUUGCAAAGCUGAAUAGUAAUACACAUUUUAUGUUCUGCAAGAACAAAGAAAGAGUUAAUUUGACAACCUGGAUAUAUUGACGUACAUGUAAUAUUAUGCUGAA